CACGCCGUAAACGAUGGAUACUAGCUGUUCGGAGCAAUCUGAGUGGCUAAGCGAAAGUGAUAAGUAUCCCACCUGGGGAGUACGCACGCAAGUGUGAAACUCAAAGGAAUUGACGGGGGCCCGCACAAGCGGUGGAGCAUGUGGUUUAAUUCGAUGAUACGCGAGGAACCUUACCAGGGCUUAAAUGUAGAUGGACAGGACUGGAAACAGGUUUUUCUUCGGACAAUUUACAAGGUGC
rnacentral:rRNA from 1 species